GACGAACGCUGGCGGCGUGCUUAACACAUGCAAGUCGAACGGUGAAGCGCUUGCCUUUUUGGUGGGUGUGGAUGAGUGGCGAACGGGUGAGUAACACGUGAGUAACCUGCCCUCUUCUUCUGGAUAACCUCAUGAAAGUGGGGCUAAUACGGGGUAUUCCGGGUCUGUCGCAUGGCGGGUUUGGGAAAGAUUGCGCCUUUGGGUGUUUUCGGUGGGGGAUGGGCUCGCGGCCUAUCAGCUUGUUGGUGGGGUGAUGGCCUACCAAGGCGGUGACGGGUAGCCGGCCUGAGGGGGUGGACGGCCACACGGGGACUGAGACACGGCCCAGACUCCUGCGGGAGGCAGCAGUGGGGAAUAUUGCACAAUGGGCGCAAGCCUGAUGCAGCGACGCCGCGUGAGGGAUGGAGGCCUUCGGGUUGUGAACCUCUUUCGCCAGUGAAGCAGGCCUGCUCCUGUGUGGGUGGGUUGACGGUAGCUGGAUAAGAAGCGCCGGCUAACUACGUG
rnacentral:rRNA from 1 species